UACGUAGGUGGCAAGCGUUGUCCGGAUUUACUGGGCGUAAAGGGCGUGCAGGCGGUCUGUUAAGUGCAGGGUGAAAGCUCCCGGCUCAACUGGGAGAGUCCUUGCAUACUGGCGGACUUGAGGGGGGUAGAGGAAAGUGGAAUUCCCGGUGUAGUGGUGAUAUGCGUAGAUAUCGGGAGGAACACCUGUGGCGAAGGCGGCUUUCUGGGCCCUACC
rnacentral:rRNA from 1 species